CAGAGGUACUGCUAUCGAGAUUCGACUAAGCCAUGCGAGUUGAAUGUUCUUCGUGAACAUGGCGGACUGCUCAGUAACACGUGGACAACCUACCCUUGGGUCCGGCAUAAUCCUGGGAAACUGGGAAUAAUUCCGGAUAGGUCACCGAUGCUGGAAUGCGCGGUGGCCGAAAGCUCCGGCGCCCGAGGAUGGGUCUGCGGCCUAUCAGGGUUGUAGUGGGUGUAACGUACCUACUAGCCUACGACGGGUACGGGUUGUGAGAGCAAGAGCCCGGAGAUGGAUUCUGAGACACGAAUCCAGGCCCUACGGGGUGCAGCAGGCGCGAAAACUUUACAAUGCGGGAAACCGUGAUAAGGGGAUCUCGAGUGCCAGCAUAUAAUGUUGGCUGUCCAGAUGCCUAAAAAGCAUCUGUUAGCAAGGGCCGGGCAAGACCGGUGCCAGCCGCCGCGGUAACACCGGCGGCCCGAGUGGUAACCGCUAUUAUUGGGUCUAAAGGGUCUGUAGCCGGCCAGGUAAGUCCCUUGGGAAAUCUGGCAGCUCAACUGUCAGGCUGCUAGGGGAUACUGUUUGGCUUGGGACCGGGAGAGGUGAGAGGUACCUUGGGGGUAGGGGUGAAAUCUUGUGAUCCUCGAGGGACCACCAGUGGCGAAGGCGUCUCACCAGAACGGGUCCGACGGUAAGGGACGAAAGCUAGGGGCACGAACCGGAUUAGAUACCCGGGUAGUCCUAGCCGUAAACGAUGCUCGCUAGGUGUCAGUCACGGUGCGACCGUGAUUGGUGCCGUAGGGAAGCCGUGAAGCGAGCCACCUGGGAAGUAUGGCCGCAAGGCUGAAACUUAAAGGAAUUGGCGGGRGMRCACUWCAGAYGGGUGGAGCCUGCGGUUUAUUG
rnacentral:rRNA from 1 species